UACAGAGGGUGCAAGCGUUGUUCGGAAUUAUUGGGCGUAAAGGGCGCGUAGGCGGCUUGGCAAGUGGAAGGUGAAAUCCCUCGGCUUAACCGAGGAACUGCCCUCCAAACUGCUUUGCUUGAGGCCGGGAGAGGUGAGUGGAAUUCCCAGUGUAGCGGUGAAAUGCGUAGAUAUCCGGAGGAACACCAGUGGCGAAGGCGGCUUCCUGGACCGACACUGACGCUGAGGCGCGAAAGCUAGGGGAGCAAACGGG
rnacentral:rRNA from 1 species